UUGAAUUUUGUCAAAAGCUUUUUCUGCAUUUAUUGAGAUGAUCAUGUGGUUUUUAUUCCUUAAUUUGUUAAUAUGCUGUAUCACAUUGAUUGAUUUGAGUAUAUUGAAGAAUCCUUGCAUCCCUGGGAUAAAUCCCACUUGAUCAUGGUGUAUGAUCCUCCUAAUGUGCUCUUGGAUUCUGUUUGCUAGUAUUUUGUUCAAGAUUUUUGCAUCUAUGUUCAUCAGGGAUAUUGGUCUAUAAUUUUCUUUUUUUGUGAUAUCUUUUUCCGGUUUUGAUAUCAGCGUGAUGGUGGCUUCGUAGAAUGAAUUUGGGAGUAUUCCUCCCUCUGCAAUUUUUUGGAAGAGUUUGAGAAGGAUCGGUGUUCGCUCUUCUCUAAGUGUUUGAUAGCAUUCGCCUGUGAAGCCAUCUGGUCCUGGACUUCUGUUUGUUGGAAAAUUUUUAAUUGUGGUUUCAAUUUUAUUACUUGUGAUAGGUCUGUUUAUAUUUUCUAAUUCUUCCUGUUUCAGUCUUGGAAAAUUGUACCUUUCCAAGAAUUUGUCCAUUUCCUUGUGGUUGUCCACCUUAUUGGCAUAUAGUUGUUUGAAGUAGUCUCUUAUAAUCCUUUGUAUUUCUGCAGUGUCAGUUGUGAUUUCUCCUUUUUCAUUUCUAACUUUAUUGAUUUGCAUCCUCUCCCUUUUUUUCCUGAUGAGUUUGGCUAAGGGUUUAUCAAUUUUGUUUAUCUUCUGAAAGAAUCAGCUUUGAGUUUUAUUGAUCUUUGCUAUUGUUUUCUUCGUUUCUAUUUCAUUUAUUUCUGCUCUGAUCUUUAUGAUUUCUUUCCUUCUGCUGACUUUGGUUCUUUGUUCUUCUUUCUCUAGUUGUUUUAAGUGUAUGGUUAGAUUGUUUAUUUGAGAUUUUUCUUGUUUCUUGAAGUGAGAUUGAAUUGCUGUAAGCUUCCCUCUUAGAACUGCUUUUGCCGUGUCCCAUAGGUUUGGGUCAUCAUGUUUUCGUUGUCGUUUGUUUGUAUGUAUUUUUUAAUUUCUUCUUUGAUUUCUUCAGUGAUCUCUUGGUUAUUUAGUAGCGCACUGUUUAGCCUCCAUGUAUUUGUGUUUUUUUCAUUUUUUUCCCUGCAAUUGAUUUCCAAUCUCAUAGCAUUGUGGUCAGAAAAGGUGCUUGAUACGGUUUCAAUUUUCUUAAAUUUGCCAAGGCUUGAUUUGUGAACCAAGAUGUGACCUAUCCUGGAGAAUGUUCUGUGUGCACUUGAGAAGAAAGUGUAUUCUGCCAUUUUUGGAUGGAAUGUUCUAUAAAUAUCCAUUAGAUCUAUCUGGUUUAUUAUGUCAUUUAAAGCUUGUGUUUCUUUAUUUAUUUUCUGUUUGGAUGAUCUGUCCAUGGGUGUAAGUGGGGUGUUAAAGUCCUCUACUAUUAUUGUUUUACUGUCAAUUUCUCCUUCCAUGGUUGUUAGCAUUUGCCUUAUGUAUUGAGGUACUCCUAUGUUUGGUGCAUAAACAUUUGUAAUUGUUAUAUCUUCUUCUUGGAUUGAUCCUUUGACCAUUAUGUAGUGUCCCUUAUCUCUUGUAACAUUCUUUAUUUUAAAGUCUAUUUUAUCUGAUACAAGUAUUGCUACUCCAACUUUCUUUUGAUUUCCAUUUGCAUGGAAUAUCUUUUUCCAUCCCUUCACUUUCAGUCUGUAUGUGUCCCUAGGUCUGAAGUGGGUCUCUUGUAGACAGCAUAUAUAUGGGUCUUGUUUUUGUAUUCAUUCAGCUGGUCUGUGUCUUUUGGUUGGGCCAUUUAAUCCAUUUAUACAUUCAGGGUUAUUAUCGAUAUGUGUGUUCCUAUUACCAUUUUCUUAAUUGUUUUAGGUUUGUUUUUGUGGGUCUUUUUCUUCUCUUGUGUUUCCCGCUUAGGGAAGUUUCUUUAGCGUUUGUUGUAAAGCUGGUUUGGUGUUGCCGAAUUCUCUUAGCUUUUGCUUGCUUGAAAAGCUUUUGACUUCUCCAUCGAAUCUGAAUGAGAUCCUUGCUGGGUAGAGUAAUCUUGGUUGUAGGUUUUUCUCUUUCAUCACUUUAAGUGUAUCCUGCCACUCCCUUCUGGCCUGCAGAGUUUCCACUGAAAAAUCAGCUGAUAACCUUAUGGGGAUUCCUUUGUGUGUUAUUUUUUGUUUUUCCCUUGCUGCUUUUAAUAUUUUUUCUUUGAAUUUAAUUUUUGUUAGUUUGAUUAAUAUGUGUCCUGGUGUGUUUUUCCUAGGGUUUAUCCUGUAUGGGACUCUCUGUGCUUCCUGGAUUUUGGUGACUAUUUCCUUUCCCAUGUUAGGGAUGUUUUCGACUAUAAUCUCUUCAGAUAUUUUCUCAGACCAUUUCUUUUUCUCUUCUUUUGGGACCCCUGUAAUUCGAAUGUUGGUGCAUUUAGUGUUGUAUGAUACUCAGUUUCAGUAAUGAAGAAUUCUUUUUUGUUUUUUUUGUUUUGUUCUGGUUUUUUGGCUGCACCAUGGCAUAUGGGAUCUUAGUUCCCCAACCAGGGAUCGAACCCACACCCCCUGCAUUGGAAGCACAGAGUCUUAACCACUGGACCGCCAGGGAAGUCCUGAAGAAUUCUUUUAAUAGGUAACUACAUGCAAAAUUUCAAAACUUCUUGUGCUCAAGAGGAAUGGUCUUUAAAUUGUCCAUGCAGGCGGCUGGGUCACCCUCCCUGCUGUGGGUGGUCUGAGAGCCUGAAGCCUCACCCCAGGCUCUGAAAUGGACUGAAAAGGCCAGAUAUCAUGAAUGUUCAUUACAGAUGCCACAAGCCCAAAGUUGAAGAAGGGCCAAAAGGGGCCAGAUGAAGCUUUGAGGGGAAAAGGGGGCACAGAGGUACUGUCACCUGUCACCACCCCCAGCAGCAGCGAGCUGGAUUUGCAGGUAUGUGCACCCAGGUGCUGCAGGGCUCCAGGUGGAAGCAGCAGGAUGGAGGCUGUCUGGAGCUGUUGUGCUCUGAUGGGGUGGAGCACAAGUUCAAAGACAAGCAGUGCUUAGCAUAUACUUUACAUGAGAAGAUAAAGAAAGAAGGUCAGCGUCUGGCAUGAUGGCCUGAGAAGCUCCAUAGACAUGCUUGCCAGCAAAAUGGGUGAAAAUUAUUUUUUUUAAACUUUUAAGCCUUUGGAAAUGGUCCUAAGUGUAUACAACAAAUGAAGAAAUGUCUAUACAUGAAAGUUCAUUAAUAAAAGCAAGAGUCUGUUAUUUGAACCAAGACUGCUCCUCCCCUCCCACCUCCCAGCUGAGCCAAGCAGAAAUUCCACUCCAAACAGGCACAGCCAAGAACACAGGCUCCUGCCCCCAGUUACCUGUUGAUGCAGCUAAGUUCUGGGUGAGUGCAAGUGAGAGAUGAGAGAUCUCUUCUUCCAUCCAGCCUCUGCUCAUGGAAUGGAGCCUCUACCUUGGGUAAAGUGCCUCUGAGUGUACAGGGCCCUGGGUGCCCUUCCCAGCUCUUAAGAUGGUGGUUCCAUACCUGGAGAGGCAAGCUGGGAGGACCUUAGGCUACUGCCCCCAACUCCACUGAGUGCUUAGCUCCUAAAGCAGCGGUGUCACUCAGAAAGACAUGCGCCAUUGUUCUCACUCCCAGGCCCAGAACCCUGGCUUGGAGAUUUUGCCUUGGGGGAGAAGCAAGCUAUAAAACAGGUAUCUCCCCAUCUCUUCCUAAAGGAACUGACUUCAUUUGCACCAGAGCGUGGAGAAGUUCAAUCAUAAGGACACUCUGAAAAGCAGUACAAGUGUGGUGAAAGGCAAUUGGGAGGAAGUUCAUCGAUUCAAUGAAGAUACAAGCUAACUUGUAGGCCAAGUAGUUUGCAGGAGAACCAGGGAAAGAGACCGGUAGGAAGAGCCCUCCUGGGGUUAGAACAAAUCUCAAACACUGACUUUGGGAACUAUUUCUUCAAUAAAUCCUGAAUUGGAUCACAUUCAGCUAUAGAGCAAUUUAUGCCCCUGAGCAUGCUGAAAUGAUAGAGCAGUCAGCUGGCAGUCGGUGGAACUUCACAGCUGGGUGUGGUCAGGGAAAGGGACUGGAGAGACCUGCCGAAAGCACCAUCAGCCCAGGGCAACUAAGCCUGCCCAAGGCUGCACCUCCUUGAGGGACAAUAGCAGAAGCUUCUGCAGGGGCCGAGGGGAAGAGAUUUCACUGAAGUAAUCCAGCCAGUCGUUAAACAAAGGCCUGGAGGGAGGAGGGAGUGGCAAGAACCAGGCGUUGCUACAAUGUAUUAUCUAAAAUGCCCAGUUUCCCCCCCACCAUGUUACAAAACACGUAAAGAAACAGAAAAGUAUGACUUAUACACUAGGAAAAAAAGGACAACGACAGAUAAUGCCUGUGAGAUUAACCAGAUGUCAGAUUUGAAAGUAGCCAAAUAUGUCACAGAACUAAAGGAAACCAUGAUUAAAGAAGUAAAGGUAUGAUGGCAGUGUCACAUCGAAUAAAGAAUACCCAUAAAGAGAUUAAAAUAAAAUGUUAAAUAUAAUGUAUAAUGUUUUAUAUAAUGUAAAUAAUAUAGGUAUCAUAUAAACAUAAAUGUAUAACUACAGAUAUCAUUUAUAUAAAUGUAAACCAAAGAGAAAUUUCUGGAGUUGGGAAAGUACAAUCACUGAAAUGAAAAAUUCACUAGAGGGGCUCAACAGUAGUUUUGAACUGGAAGAAGAAAGAAUUAGCAAACUUGAAAGUAGAUUGAUAAAUAUUAUGCAAUCCAAAGAACAGAGAGGGACAAAAGAAAGAAGAAAAAUGAACAUAGUCUCAGAGACACGUGGGACACCAAGCUCACCAACAAUAUGUGUAAUGGGAGUACCAGAAGGGGAAGAGAGAGAGAGAAAAGAGCAGAAAAAAAUUCAAAGAAAUAAUGGCUGAGAACUCCCCAGAUAUAUUGAAAACCUACACAUCAGGGAGCUCAAGAAACUCCAAGUAGGAUAAACACAAAAAGAUGCACAGACAUAUGGUAAAAAUACCGAAACACAAAAGAGGAAACCUUGAAAUCAGCAAGAGAGAAACUAUUUUCACUUACUAGGGAACCCCAAUAAGAUUGAUAGCUGAAUUCUCAGCAGCAAUAAUGGAGGCCAGAAGACAGUGGGGUAACGUAUUCAAAGAGCUGAAAGAAAAAAACUAUCAACCAAGAAUUGUACCUUUCAAAAGUGGAGGCCAAAUAAAGACAUUCCCAGAUAUACAAAAAACGAUUGAAUUUGUUGCUAGCCAACUUACAUUACCAGUAAUACUAAAGAAAGUCCUUUGGGCUAAAAGCAAGUGACCCCAAAUGGUAACUUGAAUUCACAUGCAAAAACAAAGAACACUGGUAAAGAUAAAGGUAAUUAUAAGAUGAUAUAAAUGCAUAAUUUUUUCUCCUUAACUGAUUUAAAAAUCAAUUGUAUAAAAUAAUAUGAUUAUAAUGUAAUCUUGGUCUUAUAGAAAUAAAAUGUAUGUGUAAUAUUUUUGCCAAUAACAGUACAAAAGAAGUUGGUGGGAGCAAAGCUGUAUUGGGCUAAUUUUAAGAUGGUAAAAUAAUAAUUAUAACAAUGUACUGUUGGGUUUGUAACAUUAAUAGAUGUAAUAUAUAUUUAAAAAUCAUAAAAAGGAGGAAAAUGGAAUAGAGAUAUAUAGGAACAAUGUUUCUGUAUCUCACUGGAAGUAAGCUAGUAUAAAUCUGAAGCUGAUUCUGAUAAGUUAGGAUGCGUACCACUAAAAAAAUAGUGAAAAUAUCAGUCAAGAAAUUCAAAUGCUUCAUUAGAAAAUAUUUACUUAAUACCAAAGAAAGUGGUAGAGGAGGAUUAGAGGCAAAAAAAAGAAAGAAAAAAAAAAGACACAAGACACGCAGAAAAUGAAAAGUACAGUGGCAGAGGUAAAUCCAACUAUAUCAAUAAUAACAGUAAAUGUGGGUUAAACAAUUCAUUCAAAGGGCAGAUUUUUCAGACUCUGUGUGUAUUACCCUACUAUAUGCUACUAACAAGAGACAUGUUUUAGAUUCAAAGAUACAGAUAGAUUGAAAGUAAAACAAUGGAAAAAGAUAUUUCAUGCAGGUAGCAACCACAAGAAAGCUGUAAUGGCUUUACGAGUAUUAGAUAAAAUACACUUUAAAAAAAAAUAUUUACUACAAGAGAUAAAAAGGGACAUUUUAUAAUGAUAAAAGGACCAACCCAUUAGAAAGACCUAAUAAUUAUAAAUAUGUAUGCACCUAACAAUAGAGCACUGAAAUAUAUGGAGCAAAAACUGAUAGAAAACAAAGGAUGAUAUUGGAGACAUCAAUACACAUUUUCUAUAAUGGAUAGAAUAACUAGGCAGAACAUCAAAAGGUAAUGGAGGACUUGAACAACACUAUAAACCAACUAGACUUAAAAGACAUCUAUAAAACACUCUACCCAAGAACAGCAGAAGGGACUUCCCUGGUGGUGCAGUGGUUAAGAAUCCGCCUGCCCAUGCAGGGGACACAGGUUUGAGCCCUGGUCCGGGAAGAUCCCACAUGCCGCGGAACAACUAAGCCUGUGUGCCACAACUACUGAGCCUGUGCUCUAGAGCCCACAAGCCACAACUUCUGAGCCCACAUGCCACAACUACCGAAGCCUGUGCACCUAGAGCCCCUGCUCCGCAACAAGAGAAGCCACCACAAUGAGAAGCCCGCGCACCGCAACGAAGAGUAGCCCCCGCUCACCGCAACUAGAGAAAGCCUGCGUGCAGCAACGAAAACCCAAUGCAGCCAAAGAUAAUUAAUUAAUUUAGAAAGAAGAUGUAAUAGGUUCUGUUUCAAAAGAUAAAAUGCAUAUACAAAGCUUUAAAAAAAAAAAGAACAGAAUAUACAUUCUUCCUAAGUACACAUGGAAUAUUCUCUAGGCUAGGUUGUAUGCUAGGCCACAAAACAAACCUCAAUAAAUUCUAAAAAGAUAAAAGUAAUACAUAGUACAUUCUUCAACCACAAUGGAAUUAAAUUAAGAAUCAACAAAAACUUUUGAGAAGCUGAGAAAUAUGUAGAAAUUGAACAACACAUUCCUAAAUAAACAAUGACUCAAAGAAGAAAUCAAAACGGAAAUCAGAAAAUACUUUGAAAUGAAUGAAAAUGAAGAAUGGCAUGUAGCUAAAGCAGUGCUUAGAGGUAAAUUUAUAGCUGUAAAUGCCUGUAUUAAGAAAGAAGAGGGCUUCCCUGGUGGCGCAGUGGUUGAGAGUCCGCCUGCUGAUGCAGGGGACAUGGGUUCAUGCCCCGGUCUGGGAGGAUCCCACAUGCUGCGGAGCGGCGGGGCCCGUGAGCCAUGGCCGCUGAGCCUGUGCAUCCGGAGCCUGUGCUCCGCAACAGGAGAGGCCACAACGGUCAGAGGCCUGUGUACCGCAAAAAAAAAAAAAAAAAAGAAGAAGAAAGAUCUCAAGUCAAUAACAUAAGUUUCCAUCAAAAGACACUGGAAAAAGAGCAAAUAAACCUAAAGCAAGCAGAAGAAAGAAAGUAAUAAAAGAGAGUGGAAAUUAAUGAACUAGAUAAGAGAAAAGUAAUAGAGAAAAUCAAUGAAACAAAAACAAGUUCUUUGGAAAUAUCAACAAAAUUGACAAACCUUUAGCUAGGUUGACCAAGAAAAAAGAGAAGACUCAACUUACUAGAAUCAGAAUGAAAGAAAGGACGUUACUACUGACCUUAGAGAAAUUUUAAAAAAAAUUAUGAAGGAAUACUAUAAAUAAUUGUAUGCCAACAAAUUAGAUAACUUAGAUGAAAUGGACAAAUUCCUAGAAAGACAUAAACUAUAGAACUUGACUCAAGAAGAAACUAACAAUCUGAAUAGACCUAUAGCAAGUGAAGAUAUUGAAUAGGUAAUUUAAAAAAAAACAAAAAAAAAAAACCCAAAUACUCCCCACCCAGGUGGCUUCACCACUGAAUUCUACCAAACAUUUAAGGACAAAUUAAUACCAGUUUGUCACAAGCCCUUCCUAAAAAUAGAAGAGAGAACAUUCAUUUAAUAAGGCCAAUAUUACCUGACACCAAAACCAGACAAUGACAUUAACAAGAAUAGAAAACCACAGAGCAAUAUCUCUUAUGAAUAUGAACACAAAAGUCCUCAACAGAAUACUAGCAGACCAAAUCCAUCAACAUACAGACAGAAUCAUACACCGUGACCAAGCUGGAUUUACCCCAGGAAUGCAAGAUGGGUUUAAACUGAGAGGCAGUUAAGGUAAUAUACCAUAUCAAUAGAAUAAAAACCAAAACCACAUGAUCAGCCUCAAUAAAUACAGAAGAAAGAGCAUUUGACAAAAUUCAGCACCCUAGGAAUAGAAGGGAAUUUACUUAACCUGAUAAAGGACAUUACAGAAAUCCCACAGCUAACAUCGUACUUAAUGACGGAAGACCGAGUGCUUUCCCCUACGAUCAGGAACACUUCGGGGAGGAUCACACAAGGUGUAAGAACCAGGAGAAGGGGAAGGGGGUACCCUAGGGCACAUCCACGCACCAGCCAACACCUGUUCCCGGACGAGAACGCUGCAGUCCAGAGGGGCCAGGUGCAGUGAGACUGGCCAGGGACUGGGGUGUCCCUGCUCCUUCCUACCCUCUGCCUCGAGUGAGGCCUGCUAUACAGGGCGGGCAGCCACAAUUCCUCCAGAAGGAUCAGCCAGGCUAACCUGGUGUUUCCUAACUUCCCUGAGGAUGAGAAUCGCCUGAGUUCCUAUUAAAACAGUCCCACAGGCAAGGUCACAUCCCAGAUCUGGGAGGCCUGGUGCCUCGGAUAUUUAACUAGCUCCCAGGGGAGUUUUGUGUUCAGGGCUCUGUGGGGCCCACAUGACCCGGUGUCCGUACCCAACCCAGCACAGAGGGGAACAUUUCGGGAGUGGCCUCCUCUGUGUGCGAGCUACUCCAGGGACCUGCAUGAUAAGUGAAUGGUGCUGGGGUCAGGCUCUGUCCCUGAGGAGGUUGCCAGUCUCAGCCUCGGCUCUGCUCCAGCUCCAGCCGAGAGGCCGAACCUCCCUGCUUGGCCUCCUGCCAAUGUGCUUGAAUAGCGUGUCUUUUUCGCACGCCCUCCUUUGCAAGAGGCCAGUCCUUUCCUCCACAAAUGCAGUGAAAGGAGGUUGUGAAAGGGUCUUACUCUGCCGACGGCUAGCAGACAUGCCAUGAGUGUCAUAAUUAAAGGGGUGCAGGACCCUCUCUUUGCUUCAGGAUGAGGGACCGGGCACCCCCUGUCCACGCCUGCCUGGCCCAAAGGCCACACAGCUGCCAGCAUGGGGGCUGCCCAGGUCAUGUCCAAGCUCCAGCUGGUUGAGGUGACGGGUGAGAGCCACUGUCCUCCGAUCUGUCUCCUGAUGCCCAGAGGUCUCCACCGUCUGUAGUUAUCAGAACCCAAGUUUCCUGGGCCAGAGAGGGAUGGAUCCCUCAAUUUAAACGUCCUGCUCAAGAAAAUCUCGAUACUGUGAACCAUGUGAGUUGGCUGCUGAGGCUCAGACGAGACAGUUGUCGUCUGAGCCCUGAUUUAAUUUUGAUUAUAAUCUUUGGUGUUCGUCAAAACAGCCUUGUUUUUCAUUGAAUUUGAAUAAAUGUGAUAAAUUUGAACUGGUAAAUUCAAACAAAUAACAAAGUAAAUAAAAAUAAAAACCCUGAAACAACAGCAAACAAACCUCAUGGGGCAGAGAUGUGGGCCUUCCCAGAACUUUCCGGGAAGAGUUGUCAAACUGGGGCCUCAGCUGGGGGCUGCAGGCCAGGGCUGAAGGGCCCCCCUUGCCUUGGAGACGAGGGUGGGGUCCUGCACGCAGCAGCUCACAGGCUUCUGGAGCUCAAGGGGCUGUCAUCGUGCGGAGACCAGCUGUCCCCAGGAAGAAACCCAGAGUGGGGCCGCCCACUGGUCCAGGGGAAAGCUCGCUUCCCUUUGUAGCUGAAGGGAAGCAGGGCCGGUGCUGGGCAGGAUCAGGUCUAAAACGGUGGGUGGGAGUGAGAGCCGGCUGGCAGAGGCCCCUGGGACUGACCCCAGGGCCAGAGAAGGCCGGGAGGGCCGGGGGCCUACCCAACCUCCACCUCCGCGUCACUGCUCCUGGUGGUCUGGGCAGGGCCAGGACUAAGGAGGGAGCGUGGCCAGGGGUCAGGAAUCGCGGUCCCUGCAGGCCUCGAGGAUGGGGUAUGGCUGGACUCUGUGCGGGGGUGGGGGGGCCCUGAAACGUCGAGCCCCCCUCCCUCUGUGAUCGUGAGGUGAGGAGUCCUCCCUUUGGUGGCAGGAAAGUCUGGCGAUAUUGUCGCCUGGACUGCGGGCAGGAACAGCCGUGCCUGCCAGGGUGGUCCACGCUGUCCAGAGGGCGAAGGGUGGGUCCUCAGCAGGCCCCAGACUCUCUGACAGCACUUGACACUGCAGGGCCAACAGAUGGGAUCCUGGCCAUGGCCUCAGGGUCUCGCCCCGAGACACUCAGUGCUUCUCUCAGGGACAGUUCUCUGGGUGACUGUGGACCAAACUGAUAAACCAAUAGAGCACAGGAAUUCCUGUGAGGCUGAACUGGACCAUGGGGAAGGCAACCUGGGGCAGAGUUCCCUUUGUCCUGUCUCUGAGGCCCUGAGUGAAUUGUCAUUGCGCCUGGCUAAAGCUGCGAACUGAUUUUCCCUGGUGAUGCCUGAGACAGGUCAUCCCCGCAACCACAUGCCCCAGGCACCCUCCUACCCACCUGGGGAUGCCACCUGCCAGGGGCCGUGUGGGACCAUCACCACCCAUUCAUGGAACUAGACGGUGCUUCUAGUUGAGGACAGGUCAGAGGAGGAUGAGGGACAUUUUACAAACUGGAGCUCAUGGUAGUAGGUGAGAGGAAGCCCCCAGGAGCCCCAAAGAUGGCUAUGCAGAUACGCUGGGAAGCAGCUUCCCUCCUUGUGGUAAACAAGCAUGCCCUGGAUGUGGGGUCGGGGGCACACUCAGCGGCUGCCCUAGGCAGGCUCCCUGGGGGCUGGGGCACUGGGCUUCUUUCCUGUGCACUUUGAAAGCACAGUGGACAUCUGGGAACUGUCGCUUUGGGAUUCUUGGGUCAACGGGGGCAAGGGAAGUACCAGCAGAGACUUAUUCAACUUGUGGCUAAAGCAGCGAUGAGCAGAGGCAUAGAGACGUGUUUUGAAAGCAAGCUGGAGAGGUGUGUCCACCGCAGCACCACAGCCCAGAGCCAGCUCACCUCCUGUCCCUGGCUGACCUUUCGUGCACAGGCUAUGCUGGCCCCUGGGCUGAGCUAGACAGGUGUGGUCCACCCUCCAGGCUCCCCACCCUGGCAUGUUCCUGUGUCAACAGAACUUCAACUAGCAAUCAAGAAGAAAAAUGGGGCUUCCCUGGUGGCGCAGUGGUUGAGAACCUGCCUGCUGAUGCAGGGGACACGGGUUCGAGCCCUGGUCUGGGAAGAUCCCACAUGCCGCGGAGCAGCUAGGCCCGUGAGCCACAACUACUGAGCCUGCGCGUCUGGAGCCUGUGCUCCGCAACAAGAGAGGCCGCGACAGUAAGAGGCCCGCGUACCGCGAUGAAGGGCGGCCCCCCCGCUCGCCGCAACUAGAGAAAGCCCUCACACAGAAACGAAGACCCAACAUAGCAAAAAUAAAUACAUAAAUAAAUUAAUUAAAUUUUAAAAAAAAGAAGAAAAAUGGAAUUUUAUUCAAGCCAAACUGAGGAUUAUAACCUGGAAGACAAAUAGAAACUGUGAGAAUUGUUCCACCUGUUAAAAGUUGAAAGCACAGUCAUACAUUUUCAAGACAAAGGAUUGUACAUCAAAAUGACAUACUGAUAAUUUGCAUAAAGUUCACCAAGGAUACAUGGUCCAGGUAAGCACAUAUAAAGUGAGAAGCAAGUCACCAUGACCCCCUGCAGAGCUGGUGCCCAUUUGGGGCCACUUCUGGUCUCGGACGUUCCUGCCAGGACCAGUGUAUUUCCCCUCCCUGGCGACUGGUCCAGAGAGGGCCACGUGAUGCCCACCAGGCUGGAAGUUCCUAGCAGGAGUUGGUGAGCAACUGAGGAGAGAGAAGCUCAUCCCUCCGGACAGGCACUGCCCCUCCAGCUCCAUCCCUCUACACCCUGGCCCUUUCUGUCCCUCCCAUGGCCCGCCCCUCCCCUUUAUGUCCCUCCAAUGGCCCCGCCCCUUUACCUCCCUCCCAUGGCCCCACCCCUCCACACCCUGCUCCUUUAUGUCCUUCCCCAUGGCCCCGCCUCUCCACAGACCCACUCCUUUAUGUCCCUCCCCCUGGACCUGCCCCACCCCACCCAAGCUUCCUGACCCUGGCCUGGGUGGUGCAGCAUCUGCAGCCCUGAUGAUGUCAGGGUGCGUGGACUUUACUCCUUUUCCCAGUUUUGCAGGAACUUAGCUUUUAUUUCAUGUUUUACAGCUACAGAGACUUGUUACAAUGCUUUUUAUUUAAUGCAAAUACAAGCGAACAAUUAGUUUAUGAUUUCCAAGUCUGUGUCCUUAAAAAAAAGCAAAACAGAAAAACGGUGGAUAAGCUUAAUUUGAAUUUUCCUAGAAGUAAUUCUUAAUAUUUGUAACUUGAUUUAUUUGAAUUGGUGGAUACAAAAGCAUAAAGAUCAUAAAGUUCCCUGGCUUCACCAACAGCCACAAGCAGACCCUGUCUGCUGCACAUAGACAGGUCGGGAAUGACCUUCACCAACAGACCAAACACAUCCGUCAUAACCCUCAUUCUAUAGGCAGGACAGGAGGCAUGGGUGCUUGGGUACAGCUGUCUCCAGAGGCAGAGCUGAGAUCCGCCCCGAGCCCCCUGCCCCUGCUGCCCCAUGCCCCA